GUUUGGGUAGAGAUGCAUGCUUAGAUGACAAAGGGUGUUUUUGAUGGUUUAGCUUGUAAGCAUGAUUAUGUGUUUUGUUUGAUGUGUUUGUUGGGGUUUUUAGGUAGUUUUGGACCCCUUUGUACAUAUACAUGAGUAUGUGUGUGUUGAGGAGUUGAAGUUUGCAUGUUUUGCGAGAUUAAAGGGAUGGAGGAGCUUGUUUGCCGUCGGN
rnacentral:lncRNA from 1 species